rnacentral:rRNA from 1 species
AACGAACGCUGGCGGCGUGGAUAAGACAUGCAAGUCGAACGGGACAACAUUUGUAGCAAUACCGAUGUUGUUUAGUGGCGAACGGGUGCGUAACACGUGGGCAAUCUGCCGAGAAGUGGGGGAUAGCUCGCCGAAAGGCGAAUUAAUACCGCAUAUGAUCAGAGGAGACAUUUCUUCGACAUCAAAGCCGGGGCAACCUGGCGCUUUUUGAGGAGCCCGCGGCCUAUCAGCUAGUUGGUGAGGUAACGGCUCACCAAGGCUUUGACGGGUAGCUGGUCUGAGAGGACGACCAGUCACACUGGAACUGAGACAC